rnacentral:sRNA from 1 species
GUCCUAGUUCAUUAGUGUAUUUUUCUUGUUUGUUUAAUAGUACCACUCUCUAUAUGUAGUGUUAGUUGUAGGGCUUAGGUUUUGGUUGAUAUAUUUCUGCAUUUGAGUUAUAUGUUUUAAGGUUUAAUUUCUCUUUAAGUAAAACGAAUUUCAGGUAUUAUUAGGAUCUUUUUUGGUAUGAAAGAAGCCUGUCCCCUAGACCAUGUUAGGUGGACUACAACACGUUUUUUUUCCUCACUCUGGAAAAGACAAAAGAGAUUCUCCUUUUUGACAUUUUUGCUACACUUGUCAAGAUUUUAAUUUGAUAGACAGUAAAAGAUGUAUAAAAAUGUACUCAGAAUUGUAGAAUCAUUUCUAUAUCAAAUCUCCACGUCUCAUACUUACUUUAAACAAAAGUUGAAGCAUAUUGAAAGAAAAUCGAUCCAAUUUAAACAUUCUCA